GUGUGCGUGUGCUGACUCUGCAUUGCGUUCAGCAUGUACGAGUGCAUUCUGUGCGCGUGCUGCUCCACCUCGUGCCCCAGCUACUGGUGGAACCAGGACGAGUACCUUGGGCCCGCGACGCUCAUGGCCGCCUACCGCUGGAUGGCGGACUCUCGGGUACGUCCGUGUUUCCCUGGAUCUGGCUCGCGAAUUCCGUUAUCAGCGCUUCGUGCGGGGCUAAUGCGGGGGGUGCGUGGGGGGUGGGGUAAACAGGAUACGUAUAAAGCGCACCGGAUGGAGAAGAUGCAGAACGAGCUCAGCCUGUACCGUUGCCACACGAUCUUCAACUGCGCGCGCACAUGCCCCAAGGGCCUCAACCCCGCUGCGGCGAUUGCGAAGAUGAAGCUCGAGCUUGCCGCCGAGUGAGCGGUCA
rnacentral:lncRNA from 1 species